ACACACACAUGCACACACACACACACACACAUGCAUGAACACAGGCACAAAACAAGAUAACAACACAGCUGCUUCACAAACAGCUGCUCAAUGCAAAUCUCUCACCAACACACCCACAUGCACAGACACACACACGUGCACAGACACACACACAUGCACAGACACACACACAUGCACAGACACACACACAUGCACAGACACACACACGUGCACACACAUGCACAGACACACACACGUGCUGACAUUGGCCUGUGAACACAUGUCUGAGUGUUAAAGCAUGAGUCUAUUUACAGUAUAUCUGACACUCAUUAUAUUGCCAGCCUGGUUUUAUCAAGGCUCCUCCUACCCCCCCGGCCCCCCCCACACACACACACACACACACACACACACACACACACACACACACACACACACACACACACACACACACACACACACACACACACACACACACACACACACACACACACACACACACACAUACACCGCCCGCCCCUCGCAUCCCUCACCAGUCCCAGGAGACAGUUUGGCCCUAUCAGCAGAAUCAAUUUAUAUCCCAACAGUGUGUGUCAUUGUUAUUGGACUGAGACAGUGGCUGUGUUACACUAAUUCUGAGAUGAAUAUCACAAUCACUAGUGUAGAGACAACCUGUAGUUAAUAUCACAAUCACUAGUGUAGAGACAACCUGUAGUUAAUAUCACAAUCACUAGUGUAGAUACAACCUGUAGUUAAUAUCACAAUCACUAGUGUAGAUACAACCUGUAGUUAAUAUUACAAUCACUGGUGUAGAUACAACCUGUAGUUAAUAUCACAAUCACUAGUGUAGAGACAACCUGUAGUUAAUAUCACAAUCACUAGUGUAGAUACAACCUGUAGUUAAUAUCACAAUCACUAGUGUAGAUACAACCUGUAGUUAAUAUCACAAUCACUAGUGUAGAUACAACCUGUAGUUAAUAUCACAAUCACUAGUGUAGAUACAACCUGUAGUUAAUAUUACAAUCACUAGUGUAGAGACAACCUGUAGUUAAAAUCACAAUCACUAGUGUAGAGACAACCUGUAGUUAAUAUUACAAUCACUGGUGUAGAGACAACCUGUAGUUAAAAUCACAAUCACUAGUGUAGAGACAACCUGUAGUUAAUAUCACAAUCACUAGUGUAGAUACAACCUGUAGUUAAUAUUACAAUCACUGGUGUAGAUACAACCUGUAGUUAAUAUUACAAUCACUGGUGUAGAUACAACCUGUAGUUAAUAUUACAAUCACUAGUGUAGAUACAACCUGUAGUUAAUAUCACAAUCACUAGUGUAGAUACAACCUGUAGUUAAUAUUACAAUCACUGGUGUAGAUACAACCUGUAGUUAAUAUUACAAUCACUGGUGUAGAUACAACCUGUAGUUAAUAUCACAAUCACUAGUGUAGAUACAACCUGUAGUUAAUAUUACAAUCACUAGUGUAUAUAACAACCUGUAGUUAAUAUUACAAUCACUGGUGUAGAGACAACCUGUAGUUAAAAUCACAAUCACUAGUGUAGAUACAACCUGUAGUUAAUAUUACAAUCACUAGUGUAUAUAACAACCUGUAGUUAAUAUUACAAUCACUGGUGUAGAUACAACCUGUAGUUAAUAUUACAAUCACUGGUGUAGAUACAACCUGUAGUUAAUAUCACAAUCACUAGUGUAGAUACAACCUGUAGUUAAUAUUACAAUCACUAGUGUAUAUAACAACCUGUAGUUAAUAUUACAAUCACUGGUGUAGAGACAACCUGUAGUUAAAAUCACAAUCACUAGUGUAGAUACAACCUGUAGUUAAUAUCACAAUCACUAGUGUAGAUACAACCUGUAGUUAAUAUUACAAUCACUGGUGUAGAUACAACCUGUAGUUAAUAUCACAAUCACUAGUGUAGAUAAAACCUGUAGUUAAUAUUACAAUCACUAGUGUAUAUAACAACCUGUAGUUAAUAUUACAAUCACUGGUGUAGAGACAACCUGUAGUUAAAAUCACAAUCACUAGUGUAGAUACAACCUGUAGUUAAUAUCACAAUCACUAGUGUAGAUACAACCUGUAGUUAAUAUUACAAUCACUAGUGUAGAGACAACCUGUAGUUAAAAUCACAAUCACUAGUGUAGAGACAACCUGUAGUUAAUAUCACAAUCACUAGUGUAGAUACAACCUGUAGUUAAUAUUACAAUCACUGGUGUAGAUACAACCUGUAGUUAAUAUUACAAUCACUGGUGUAGAUACAACCUGUAGUUAAUAUUACAAUCACUAGUGUAGAUACAACCUGUAGUUAAUAUCACAAUCACUAGUGUAGAUACAACCUGUAGUUAAUAUUACAAUCACUAGUGUAUAUAACAACCUGUAGUUAAUAUUACAAUCACUGGUGUAGAGACAACCUGUAGUUAAAAUCACAAUCACUAGUGUAGAUACAACCUGUAGUUAAUAUUACAAUCACUAGUGUAUAUAACAACCUGUAGUUAAUAUUACAAUCACUGGUGUAGAUACAACCUGUAGUUAAUAUCACAAUCACUAGUGUAGAUACAACCUGUAGUUAAUAUUACAAUCACUAGUGUAUAUAACAACCUGUAGUUAAUAUUACAAUCACUGGUGUAGAGACAACCUGUAGUUAAAAUCACAAUCACUAGUGUAGAUACAACCUGUAGUUAAUAUCACAAUCACUAGUGUAGAUACAACCUGUAGUUAAAAUCACAAUCACUAGUGUAGAUACAACCUGUAGUUAAUAUCACAAUCACUGGUGUAGAUACAACCUGUAGUUAAUAUUACAAUCACUGGUGUAGAUACAACCUGUAGUUAAUAUUACAAUCACUGGUGUAGAGACAACCUGUAGUUAAAAUCACAAUCACUAGUGUAGAUACAACCUGUAGUUAAUAUCACAAUCACUAGUGUAGAUACAACCUGUAGUUAAUAUUACAAUCACUAGUGUAGAUACAACCUGUAGUUAAUAUCACAAUCACUAGUGUAGAUACAACCUGUAGUUAAUAUCACAAUCACUAGUGUAGAUACAACCUGUAGUUAAUAUCACAAUCACUGGUGUAUAUAACAACCUGUAGUUAAUAUCACAAUCACUAGUGUAGAUACAACCUGUAGUUAAUAUUACAAUCACUGGUGUAGAUACAACCUGUAGUUAAUAUUACAAUCACUGGUGUAGAUACAACCUGUAGUUAAUAUUACAAUCACUAGUGUAGAUACAACCUGUAGUUAAUAUCACAAUCACUAGUGUAGAUACAACCUGUAGUUAAUAUUACAAUCACUAGUGUAUAUAACAACCUGUAGUUAAUAUUACAAUCACUGGUGUAGAGACAACCUGUAGUUAAAAUCACAAUCACUAGUGUAGAUACAACCUGUAGUUAAUAUUACAAUCACUAGUGUAUAUAACAACCUGUAGUUAAUAUUACAAUCACUGGUGUAGAGACAACCUGUAGUUAAAAUCACAAUCACUAGUGUAGAUACAACCUGUAGUUAAUAUUACAAUCACUAGUGUAUAUAACAACCUGUAGUUAAUAUUACAAUCACUGGUGUAGAGACAACCUGUAGUUAAAAUCACAAUCACUAGUGUAGAUACAACCUGUAGUUAAUAUCACAAUCACUAGUGUAGAUACAACCUGUAGUUAAUAUCACAAUCACUGGUGUAGAUACAACCUGUAGUUAAUAUUACAAUCACUGGUGUAGAUACAACCUGUAGUUAAUAUUACAAUCACUGGUGUAGAGACAACCUGUAGUUAAAAUCACAAUCACUAGUGUAGAUACAACCUGUAGUUAAUAUCACAAUCACUAGUGUAGAUACAACCUGUAGUUAAUAUUACAAUCACUAGUGUAGAUACAACCUGUAGUUAAUAUCACAAUCACUAGUGUAGAUACAACCUGUAGUUAAUAUCACAAUCACUAGUGUAGAUACAACCUGUAGUUAAUAUCACAAUCACUGGUGUAUAUAACAACCUGUAGUUAAUAUCACGAUCACUAGUGUAGAUACAACCUGUAGUUAAUAUUACAAUCACUGGUGUAGAUACAACCUGUAGUUAAUAUUACAAUCACUGGUGUAGAUACAACCUGUAGUUAAUAUUACAAUCACUAGUGUAGAUACAACCUGUAGUUAAUAUCACAAUCACUAGUGUAGAUACAACCUGUAGUUAAUAUUACAAUCACUAGUGUAUAUAACAACCUGUAGUUAAUAUUACAAUCACUGGUGUAGAGACAACCUGUAGUUAAAAUCACAAUCACUAGUGUAGAUACAACCUGUAGUUAAUAUUACAAUCACUAGUGUAUAUAACAACCUGUAGUUAAUAUUACAAUCACUGGUGUAGAGACAACCUGUAGUUAAAAUCACAAUCACUAGUGUAGAUACAACCUGUAGUUAAUAUUACAAUCACUAGUGUAUAUAACAACCUGUAGUUAAUAUUACAAUCACUGGUGUAGAGACAACCUGUAGUUAAAAUCACAAUCACUAGUGUAGAUACAACCUGUAGUUAAUAUCACAAUCACUAGUGUAGAUACAACCUGUAGUUAAAAUCACAAUCACUAGUGUAGAUACAACCUGUAGUUAAUAUCACAAUCACUGGUGUAGAUACAACCUGUAGUUAAUAUUACAAUCACUGGUGUAGAUACAACCUGUAGUUAAUAUUACAAUCACUGGUGUAGAGACAACCUGUAGUUAAAAUCACAAUCACUAGUGUAGAUACAACCUGUAGUUAAUAUCACAAUCACUAGUGUAGAUACAACCUGUAGUUAAUAUUACAAUCACUAGUGUAGAUACAACCUGUAGUUAAUAUCACAAUCACUAGUGUAGAUACAACCUGUAGUUAAUAUCACAAUCACUAGUGUAGAUACAACCUGUAGUUAAUAUCACAAUCACUGGUGUAUAUAACAACCUGUAGUUAAUAUCACAAUCACUAGUGUAGAUACAACCUGUAGUUAAUAUCACAAUCACUAGUGUAGAGACAACCUGUAGUUAAUAUCACAAUCACUAGUGUAGAUACAACCUGUAGUUAAUAUCACAAUCACUAGUGUAGAUACAACCUGUAGUUAAUAUCACAAUCACUAGUGUAGAGACAACCUGUAGUUAAUAUUACAAUCACUAGUGUAGAUACAACCUGUAGUUAAUAUCACAAUCACUAGUGUAGAUACAACCUGUAGUUAAUAUCACAAUCACUAGUGUAGAUACAACCUGUAGUUAAUAUCACAAUCACUAGUGUAGAUACAACCUGUAGUUAAAAUCACAAUCACUAGUGUAGAGACAACCUGUAGUUAAUAUCACAAUCACUAGUGUAGAUACAACCUGUAGUUAAUAUUACAAUCACUGGUGUAGAUACAACCUGUAGUUAAUAUUACAAUCACUGGUGUAGAUACAACCUGUAGUUAAUAUUACAAUCACUAGUGUAGAUACAACCUGUAGUUAAUAUCACAAUCACUAGUGUAGAUACAACCUGUAGUCAAUAUUACAAUCACUAGUGUAUAUAACAACCUGUAGUUAAUAUUACAAUCACUGGUGUAGAUACAACCUGUAGUUAAUAUCACAUUGUGUUAUUACAGUAUUAUAGUAUAGUGUUGUACAGUACUGGAGGUAUCUAUCUGCAGUCAGCAGGUUGUUGUGUUGUACAGUACUGGAGGUCUCUAUCUGUAGUCAGCAGGUUGUUGUGUUGUACAGUACUGGAGGUCUCUAUCUGCAGUCAGCAGGUUGUUGUGUUGUACAGUACUGGAGGUCUCUAUCUGUAGUCAGCAGGUUGUUGUGUUGUACAGUACCGGAGGUCUCUAUCUGCAGUCAGCAGGUUGUUGUGUUGUACAGUACUGGAGGUCUCUAUCUGUAGUCAGCAGGUUGUUGUGUUGUACAGUACUGGAGGUUUCUAUCUGUAGUCAGCAGGUUGUUGUGUUGUACAGUACUGGAGGUCUCUAUCUGUAGUCAGCAGGUUGUUGUGUUGUGCAGUACUGGAGGUUUCUAUCUGCAGUCAGCAGGUUGUUGUGUUGUACAGUACUGGAGGUCUCUAUCUGUAGUCAGCAGGUUGUUGUGUUGUACAGUACUGGAGGUCUCUAUCUGUAGUCAGCAGGUUGUUGUGUUGUACAGUACUGGAGGUCUCUAUCUGUAGUCAGCAGGUUGUUGUUGUUGUACAGUACUGGAGGUCUCUAUCUGUAGUCAGCAGGUUGUUGUGUUGUACAGUACUGGAGGUCUCUAUCUGUAGUCAGCAGGUUGUUGUGUUGUACAGUACUGGAGGUCUCUAUCUGUAGUCAGCAGGUUGUUGUUGUACAGUACUGGAGGUCUCUAUCUGUAGUCAGCAGGUUGUUGUGUUGUACAGUACUGGAGGUCUCUAUCUGUAGUCAGCAGGUUGUUGUUGUACAGUACUGGAGGUCUCUAUCUGUAGUCAGCAGGUUGUUGUGUUGUACAGUACUGGAGGUCUCUAUCUGCAGUCAGCAGGUUGUUGUGUUGUACAGUACUGGAGGUCUCUAUCUGUAGUCAGCAGGUUGUUGUUGUACAGUACUGGAGGUCUCUAUCUGCAGUCAGCAGGUUGUUGUGUUGUACAGUACUGGAGGUCUCUAUCUGUAGUCAGCAGGUUGUUGUUGUACAGUACUGGAGGUCUCUAUCUGUAGUCAGCAGGUUGUUGUACAGUACUGGAGGUCUCUAUCUGCAGUCAGCAGGUUGUUGUACAGUACUGGAGGUCUCUAUCUGUAAUCAGCAGGUUGUUGUUGUACAGUACUGGAGGUCUCUAUCUGUAGUCAGCAGGUUGUGUUGUACAGUACUGGAGGUCUCUAUCUGUAGUCAGCAGGUUGUUGUACAGUACUGGAGGUCUCUAUCUGUAGUCAGCAGGUUGUUGUGUUGUACAGUACUGGAGGUCUCUAUCUGUAGUCAGCAGGUUGUUGUGUUGUACAGUACUGGAGGUCUCUAUCUGUAGUCAGCAGGUUGUUGUGUUGUACAGUACUGGAGGUCUCUAUCUGUAGUCAGCAGGUUGUUGUGUUGUACAGUACUGGAGGUCUCUAUCUGUAGUCAGCAGGUUGUUGUUGUACAGUACUGGAGGUCUCUAUCUGUAGUCAGCAGGUUGUUGUGUUGUACAGUACUGGAGGUCUCUAUCUGUAGUCAGCAGGUUGUUGUGUUGUACAGUACUGGAGGUCUCUAUCUGUAGUCAGCAGGUUGUUGUGUUGUACAGUACUGGAGGUCUCUAUCUGUAGUCAGCAGGUUGUUGUGUUGUACAGUACUGGAGGUCUCUAUCUGUAGUCAGCAGGUUGUUGUACAGUACAGGAGGUCUCUAUCUGCAGUCAGCAGGUUGUUGUUGUACAGUACUGGAGGUCUCUAUCUGUAGUCAGCAGGUUGUUGUGUUGUACAGUACUGGAGGUCUCUAUCUGUAGUCAGCAGGUUGUUGUGUUGUACAGUACUGGAGGUCUCUAUCUGCAGUCAGCAGGUUGUUGUGUUGUACAGUACUGGAGGUCUCUAUCUAUAGUCAGCAGGUUAUUGUGUUGUACAGUACUGGAGGUCUCUAUCUGUAGUCAGCAGGUUGUUGUGUUGUACAGUACCGGAGGUCUCUAUCUGUAGUCAGCAGGUUGUUGUACAGUACUGGAGGUCUCUAUCUGUAGUCAGCAGGUUGUUGUACAGUACUGGAGGUCUCUAUCUGUAGUCAGCAGGUUGUUGUUGUACAGUACUGGAGGUCUCUAUCUGUAGUCAGCAGGUUGUUGUGUUGUACAGUACUGGAGGUCUCUAUCUGUAGUCAGCAGGUUGUUGUGUUGUACAGUACUGGAGGUCUCUAUCUGUAGUCAGCAGGUUGUUGUGUUGUACAGUACUGGAGGUCUCUAUCUGUAGUCAGCAGGUUUUUGUGUUGUACAGUACUGGAGGUCUCUAUCUGUAGUCAGCAGGUUGUUGUUGUACAGUACUGGAGGUCUCUAUCUGUAGUCAGCAGGUUGUUGUUGUACAGUACUGGAGGUCUCUAUCUGUAGUCAGCAGGUUGUUGUGUUGUACAGUACUGGAGGUCUCUAUCUGUAGUCAGCAGGUUGUUGUGUUGUACAGUACUGGAGGUCUCUAUCUGUAGUCAGCAGGUUGUUGUGUUGUACAGUACUGGAGGUCUCUAUCUGUAGUCAGCAGGUUGUUGUGUUGUACAGUACCGGAGGUCUCUAUCUGUAGUCAGCAGGUUGUUGUUGUACAGUACAGGAGGUCUCUAUCUGCAGUCAGCAGGUUGUUGUUGUACAGUACUGGAGGUCUCUAUCUGUAGUCAGCAGGUUGUUGUGUUGUACAGUACUGGAGGUCUCUAUCUGUAGUCAGCAGGUUGUUGUGUUGUACAGUACUGGAGGUCUCUAUCUGCAGUCAGCAGGUUGUUGUGUUGUACAGUACUGGAGGUCUCUAUCUGUAGUCAGCAGGUUAUUGUGUUGUACAGUACUGGAGGUCUCUAUCUGUAGUCAGCAGGUUGUUGUGUUGUACAGUACUGGAGGUCUCUAUCUGUAGUCAGCAGGUUGUUGUUGUACAGUGCUGGAGGUCUCUAUCUGUAGUCAGCAGGUUGUGUUGUACAGUACUGGAGGUCUCUAUCUGUAGUCAGCAGGUUGUUGUGUUGUACAGUACUGGAGGUCUCAAUCUGCAGUCAGCAGGUUGUUGUUGUACAGUACUGGAGGUCUCUAUCUGCAGUCAGCAGGUUCUUGUGUUGUACAGUACUGGAGGUCUCUAUCUGUAGUCAGCAGGUUGUUGUUGUACAGUACUGGAGGUCUCUAUCUGUAGUCAGCAGGUUGUUGUUGUACAGUACUGGAGGUCUCUAUCUGUAGUCAGCAGGUUGUUGUGUUGUACAGUACUGGAGGUCUAUCUCUGUAGUCAGCAGGUUGUUGUACAGUACUGGAGGUCUCUAUCUGUAGUCAGCAGGUUGUUGUGUUGUACAGUACUGGAGGUCUCUAUCUGUAGUCAGCAGGUUGUUGUGUUGUACAGUACUGGAGGUCUCUAUCUGUAGUCAGCAGGUUGUUGUACAGUACUGGAGGUCUCUAUCUGUAGUCAGCAGGUUGUUGUACAGUGCUGGAGGUCUCUAUCUGUAGUCAGCAGGUUGUUGUGUUGUACAGUACUGGAGGUCUCUAUCUGUAGUCAGCAGGUUGUUGUGUUGUACAGUACUGGAGGUCUCUAUCUGUAGUCAGCAGGUUGUUGUGUUGUACAGUACUGGAGGUCUCUAUCUGUAGUCAGCAGGUUGUUGUACAGUACUGGAGGUCUCUAUCUGUAGUCAGCAGGUUGUUGUGUUGUACAGUACUGGAGGUCUCUAUCUGUAGUCAGCAGGUUGUUGUGUUGUACAGUACUGGAGGUCUCUAUCUGUAGUCAGCAGGUUGUUGUUGUACAGUACUGGAGGUCUCUAUCUGUAGUCAGCAGGUUGUUGUACAGUACUGGAGGUCUCUAUCAGUAGUCAGCAGGUUGUUGUACAGUACUGGAGGUCUCUAUCUGUAGUCAGCAGGUUGUUGUGUUGUACAGUACUGGAGGUCUCUAUCUGUAGUCAGCAGGUUGUUGUUGUACAGUACUGGAGGUCUCUAUCUGUAGUCAGCAGGUUGUUGUUGUACAGUACUGGAGGUCUCUAUCUGUAGUCAGCAGGUUAUUGUGUUGUACAGUACUGAAGGUCUCUAUCUGUAGUCAGCAGGUUGUUGUACAGUACUGGAGGUCUCUAUCUGUAGUCAGCAGGUUGUUGUACAGUACUGGAGGUCUCUCUCUGUAGUCAGCAGGUUAUUGUGUUGUACAGUACUGGAGGUCUCUAUCUGUAGUCAGCAGGUUGUUGUGUUGUACAGUACUGGAGGUCUCUAUCUGUAGUCAGCAGGUUGUUGUACAGUACUGGAGGUCUCUAUCUGUAGUCAGCAGGUUGUUGUACAGUACUGGAGGUCUCUAUCUGUAGUCAGCAGGUUGUUGUGUUGUACAGUACAGGAGGUCUCUAUCUGUAGUCAGCAGGUUGUUGUGUUGUACUGUACUGGAGGUUUCUAUCUGUAGUCAGCAGGUUGUUGUACAGUACUGGAGGUCUCUAUCUGUAGUCAGCAGGUUGUUGUACAGUACUGGAGGUCUCUAUCUGUAGUCAGCAGGUUGUUGUACAGUCCUGGAGGUCUCUAUCUGUAGUCAGCAGGUUGUUGUGUUGUACAGUACUGGAGGUCUCUAUCUGUAGUCAGCAGGUUGUUGUGUUGUACAGUACAGGAGGUCUCUAUCUGUAGUCAGCAGGUUGUUGUGUUGUACAGUACAGGAGGUCUCUAUCUGUAGUCAGCAGGUUGUUGUACAGUACUGGAGGUUUCUAUCUGUAGUCAGCAGGUUGUUGUUGUACAGUACUGGAGGUCUCUAUCUGUAGUCAGCAGGUUGUUGUACAGUACUGGAGGUCUCUAUCUGUAGUCAGCAGGUUGUUGUGUUGUACAGUACAGGAGGUCUCUAUCUGUAGUCAGCAGGUUGUUGUGUUGUACAGUACUGGAGGUUUCUAUCUGUAGUCAGCAGGUUGUUGUACAGUACUGGAGGUCUCUAUCUGCAGUCAGCAGGUUGUUGUACAGUACAAGAGGUCUCUAUCUGCAGUCAGCAGGUUGUUGUGUUGUACAGUACUGGAGGUUUCUAUCUGUAGUCAGCAGGUUGUUGUACAGUACUGGAGGUCUCUAUCUGUAGUCAGCAGGUUGUUGUACAGUACUGGAGGUCUCUAUCUGCAGUCAGCAGGUUGUUGUGUUGUACAGAACUGGAGGUCUCUAUCUGUAGUCAGCAGGUUGUUGUGUUGUACAGUACUGGAGGUCUCUAUCUGCAGUCAGCAGGUUGUUGUGUUGUACAGUACUGGAGGUCUCUAUCUGUAGUCAGCAGGUUGUUGUUGUACAGUACUGGAGGUCUCUAUCUGUAGUCAGCAGGUUGUUGUGUUGUACAGUACAGGAGGUCUCUAUCUGUAGUCAGCAGGUUGUUGUGUUGUACAGUACUGGAGGUCUCUAUCUGUAGUCAGCAGGUUGUUGUGUUGUACAGUACUGGAGGUUUCUAUCUGUAGUCAGCAGGUUGUUGUACAGUACUGGAGGUCUCUAUCUGCAGUCAGCAGAUUGUUGUUGUACAGUGCUGGAGGUCUGGUCUCUAUCUGUGUGACAGGACUGAACUGGGAGGCUACUGUAUGACUGUUCCCAUUGUGUGCUGGGAAUUUUGUACGGGACUGUUCCACUACAGUUUAGCAGAAUGUGUGUAUGUUCACUUUACUGUACAUAUACAGUGCAUUCAGAAAGUGCUUUCAGACCCCUUCACUGUUGCCAGUUUUUUUUACAUUACAGCCUUAUUCUAAAAUGGAUUACAUAUAUUUUUCCCCUCAUCAAUCGUCAUACAAUACCCCAUAAUGACGAAGUGAAAACAGGUUUUUAGAAAUUUGUGCAAAUUUUUUCAAAAUAAAAAACUGAAAUAUUUUAUUUACAUAAGUAUUCAGACCAUUUGCUAUGCGAUUCGAAAUUGAGCUCUGGUUCAUCCUUUUUCCAUUGAUAGUCCUUGAUGUUUCUACAACUUGAUUAGAGUCCACAUUUGGUAAAAUGUAUUGAUUGGACAUAAUUUGGAAAGGCACACACACCUGUCUAUAUAAGGUCCCAUAGUUGACAGUGCAUGUCAGAGCAAAAACCAAGCCAUGAGGUUGAAGGAAUUGUCCAUAGAGCUCCGAGACAGGAUUGUGUCGAGGCACAGAUCUGGGACGGGUAUCAAAAAAUGUCUGCAGCGUUGAAGGUCACCAAGAACACAGUGGCCUCCAUCAUUCUUAAAUGAACUAAGUUUGGAACCAGCAAGAUUCUUCCUAGAGCUGGCCGCCCGGCCAAACUGAGCAAUCAGGGGAGAAGGGCCUUGGUCAGGGAAGUGACCAAGAACCCGAUGGUUACUCUAUGGGAGAACCUUCCAGAAAGGGAAAGGGGGAUACCUAGUCAGUUGUACAACUGAAUGCAUUCAUCUGAAAUGUGUCUUCCGCAUUUAACCCACCCCUCUGAAUCAGAGAGAUGCGGGGGGCUUCCAACAUCCACGGCCCAGGGAACCAUCUCUACAGCAUUCCACCAAUCAGGCCUUUAUGGUAGAAUGGCCAGACGGAAGCCACUCCUCAGUAAAAGGCAGAUGACAGUCCUGCUUGGAAAAAAACAUCUGUUCUGAUGAAACCAAGAUUGAAUUAUUUGGCCUGAAUGCCAAGCGUCACGUCUGGAGGAAACCUGGCACCAUCCCUACGGUGAAGCAUGGUGGUGGCAGCAUCAUGCUGUGGGGAUGUUUUUCAGCAGCAGGAACUUGGAGACGAGGGAAAGAUGAACGGAGCAAAGUACAGAGAGAUCCUUGAUUAAAACCUGCUAAGGACCUCUGCCUGGGGUAAAGGGUCAUCUUCCAAAAGGACAAUGACUCUGAGAGCACAGCCUAGACAACAUGGCUUUGGGACAAGUCUCUGAAUGUCCUUGAGUGGCCCAGCUAGAGCCUGGACUUGAACCCGAUCGAACAUCUCUGGAGAAACGUGAAAAGAGCUGGUCAGCGACGCUCCCCAGCCAACCUGACAGAGUUUGAGAGGAUCUGCAGAGAAGAAUGGGAGAAACUCCCCAAAUACAGGUGUGCCAAGCUUGUAGUUCAUACCCAAGAAGACUCGAGGCUGUAAUCGCUGCCAAAGAUGCUUCAACAAAGUACUGAGUAAAGGGUCUAAAUACUUAUGUAAAUAUGAUAUUUAAGUUUUGUAUUUUUAAUACAUUUGCAAAAAUAUCUAAAAAGCUGUUUUUGCUUUGUCAUUGUGGGGUAUUGUAUGUAGAUUGAUGAGGGAACAAACAAUUUAAUCAAUUUUAGAAUAAGGCUGUAGCGUAACAAAAUGUGGAAAAGGUCAAGGGGUCUGAAUACUUUCCAAAUGCACUAUAGUAUAAAGUAUGUGUGUGUGUGUUAUCCAAUGAUUGUGUGUGUUCUC